UGACAGUACGUCCUACGGGGAGGCAGCAGUGGGGGAAUAGUUGCACAAUGGGCGCAAGCCUGAUGCAGCCAUGCCGCGUGUGUGAAGAAGGACCUUCGGGUUGUAAAGCACUUUCAGUCGUGAGGAAGGUAGUGUAGUUAAUAGCUGCAUUAUUUGACGUUAGCGACAGAAGAAGCACCGGCUAACUCCGUGCCAGCAGCCGCGGUAAUACGGAGGGUGCGAGCGUUAAUCGGAAUUACUGGGCGUAAAGCGCAUGCAGGUGGUUUGUUAAGUCAGAUGUGAAAGACCCGGGGCUCAACCUCGGAAUAGCAUUUGAAACUGGCAGACUAGAGUACUGUAGAGGGGGGUAGGAAUUUCAGGUGUAGCGGUGAAAUGCGUAGAGAUCUGAAGGAAUACCGGUGGCGAAGGCGGCCCCCUGGACAGAUACUGACACUCAGAUGCGAAAGCGUGGGGAGCAAACAGGAUUAGAUACCCUGGUAG
rnacentral:rRNA from 1 species